rnacentral:rRNA from 1 species
UACGUAGGUGACAAGCGUUGUCCGGAUUUACUGGGCGUAAAGAGCGCGCAGGCGGUCGUUCAAGUCGAGUGUGAAAGCCCCCGGCUCAACUGGGGAGGGUCAUUCGAUACUGAUCGACUCGAAGGCAGGAGAGGGUAGUGGAAUUCCCGGUGUAGUGGUGAAAUGCGUAGAUAUCAGGAGGAACACCAAUGGCGAAGGCAGCACUCUGGGACGGUACUGACGCUGAGGCGCGAAAGCGUGGGGAGCAAACAGG